CGGACCGCGAGAUCGUGACCUGGCUGAAGUCGGACGCUUAACUGACUGCGCCACCCAGGCGCCCCUUUUCUCUGCUUUUAAAUGAGGAAACGGAGGUGGCAUUCGAUCCGAGGUCAAACGACCACAACGUUCGCGGCCUUAAGUAAGAUCUCUCCGAGGAUGGCCUUCCUUACACCUUCACGGAUUCUCUAUAGUCUUUUGGGCUCUUGCUCAAAUUUUGCCGCCUGUGUGACGGUUUCUCCAAAUCGUAGCGUAAUACAGCCCAGUCUGACCCCUUGCCUUUUAGGGCCCUUGAUCAAUUCCCUAAUUAUUUCUUUUCUCUCCAAUUAGAGAACCAAAGCAUUCUUCAAGUAACUCACGUGUCUGGUCUCCCCAACACUGCUUUUCAUCUUCUCCAUUUUAGGCACUGACUGAAACGAAUCAGAACACGUAGAAAGUGUCCGGAAAUUGAGGGAGAAGGCGUGCUAUAAAAAACAGACGCUACAACUUGCGUGUCAGGGCCCAGAGUUCCACAGGGCUUUAUGCAGCCACAACCUGCGGGUCGUAUUCUGCCCCACCAGGGGGAUCAGAAAGUUCAGGCAGUUUAGUUAGAGAAACUGUGGCAGGUUAUGGGUCACUGUAAAGCACCCCCGUCCCCAGUGGCCACAAACUGCUCCAUGACCAAUGAUAAUUAAAUAGCCAGUGUCUGGAAAACAGGGUGAAAACAGCUGGUGACAUCACGAAGGACGAACCAGUUUUAGGAAACAACCUUGAAAGCAAAAGAGGCACAAGACGGACUACCGGGGACAAGGGAGACUUCUUAGGACGACAGUGCAAACCAGUGCUAAAGCCAGACCACAUCCCAAAACAACACAGCAGACCUCAGCCAUGUAACCGGAAGCUGCUGGAUUCAGAAGCCAAAACUCUGCUACAAAUCUCCGUACUCUGCUCCCUCCUCUUCCCCAACCUCAGCCCCACAUCAUCGAACCAGCUAGGCCUACGUGCUGUCCUGUCCGGGUCCUACCAAAGUGUCUCUCACACCGCGCCGGCCAUCCACAGGGCCAGUGCACCCAAGUCCGUGGCACGGACUCCACGGUGUCUCCUGACCGGACGCAACGCCUCCCUCUUCUGUCCAUGUGGAAGCCACCGAGGAAUCUGCCCUUUUAAAUUUUUCUUACGUUUGCUGAUUUUCGAGAGACAGAGCACAAGCAGGGGAGGGGCAGAGAGAGAAGGAGACACCGAAUCCGAAGCAGGCUCCAGGCUCUGAGCUGUCAGCACAGAGCCCGACGUGGGGCUCGAACUCAGGAACCGCGAGGAUCGUGACCUGAGCCUCAGUCGGGACGCUUAACCGACUGAGCCUCCCAGGUGGGGAAUCUGCCCUUUUAAAGCAACACUUCCAUCCUCUGUUCAGAGCCCUGGAACAAACCGUGUGGGCCUCGAUGUUUCAUUUCUUAGAACUCGCGGGGCCUUCUCUUGACCUGGCCCCUUAUCUCGGCUCUCUUGGUCAGCACUCCCUCCUCCUGUCAGCCUGGGUGAUUCUUGACCUUCUGUGACUUCCUCCCUCUGCACUCCUCACUUGGAAACCCCGUUUGGGGUUUAUAAUCACUCUUCCUCUUGGAAAUGGUCUUCAGAUUAUAAAAGCUUUAGACCCACAAAGCCUGGAUCUGCCCGUGGGACUGUGCCCGGAGGGUCUCGAGCCGUUGCUACCGGCUCUCCCAGGGACCAGACGCCAUUCGGCCACACACACCCGACGCUUUACCCCCCCUCGUGGCACCUGGGGUGGAGGGAACUUAAUUGACCUACGCCCAAACACUUCAAUUUCUGAUCUGUUUUUGAAGGUUCUGGAAGAAGCCAGAAUUUCUUUAUCGUAAACAUCUGAAGUAAAGGCCGUCCUGAAAGAGCUCCCGGUUGAGUUGCAUGCCACUUCUCGGUCCGCGGACAGCCCGGCUGAAGCACCGAGUGGGAAAGAGAGAUGUGGGGGAACGUGACGCCCUCUGACAGGUUGGAACCCACAAGUCCGGGAAACUGCUUGGAGGCCAGACACAGGCUCUGCACCUAAACUCAAGUGCUUUCUCUUUUCUUCCUCCAAAUUUGUUAGUGAACAUGUAGUGUGAUAUUGGC